GCUCCUCUAGUGGAUGAACCUCCACAAUGCCAUCCGAACUCCGCUGUCGGUCGACCCUCUGUCGGAUUCCUCAUGAAACCGGACUUCUCCAACAGAAAAUCUCCGUCCGAGCUUCUACCGCAGAUGACUUCCACCUGUAGCAUCAGUGCUCUAGGCACCCGACAACAGUGGACUCAUCAGCAACCUCGAAAAUAUCCGAGCCUCUCUU
rnacentral:lncRNA from 1 species